UAACUGAAGAGUUUGAUCAUGGCUCAGAUUGAACGCUGGCGGCAGGCUUAACACAUGCAAGUCGAGCGGGGGAAGGUAGCUUGCUACUGGACCUAGCGGCGGACGGGUGAGUAAUGCUUAGGAAUCUGCCUAUUAGUGGGGGACAACAUCUCGAAAGGGAUGCUAAUACCGCAUACGUCCUACGGGAGAAAGCAGGGGAUCUUCGGACCUUGCGCUAAUAGAUGAGCCUAAGUCGGAUUAGCUAGUUGGUGGGGUAAAGGCCUACCAAGGCGACGAUCUGUAGCGGGUCUGAGAGGAUGAUCCGCCACACUGGGACUGAGACACGGCCCAGACUCCUACGGGAGGCAGCAGUGGGGAAUAUUGGACAAUGGGGGGAACCCUGAUCCAGCCAUGCCGCGUGUGUGAAGAAGGCCUUAUGGUUGUAAAGCACUUUAAGCGAGGAGGAGGCUACUUUAGUUAAUACCUAGAGAUAGUGGACGUUACUCGCAGAAUAAGCACCGGCUAACUCUGUGCCAGCAGCCGCGGUAAUACAGAGGGUGCGAGCGUUAAUCGGAUUUACUGGGCGUAAAGCGUGCGUAGGCGGCUUAUUAAGUCGGAUGUGAAAUCCCCGAGCUUAACUUGGGAAUUGCAUUCGAUACUGGUGAGCUAGAGUAUGGGAGAGGAUGGUAGAAUUCCAGGUGUAGCGGUGAAAUGCGUAGAGAUCUGGAGGAAUACCGAUGGCGAAGGCAGCCAUCUGGCCUAAUACUGACGCUGAGGUACGAAAGCAUGGGGAGCAAACAGGAUUAGAUACCCUGGUAGUCCAUGCCGUAAACGAUGUCUACUAGCCGUUGGGGCCUUUGAGGCUUUAGUGGCGCAGCUAACGCGAUAAGUAGACCGCCUGGGGAGUACGGUCGCAAGACUAAAACUCAAAUGAAUUGACGGGGGCCCGCACAAGCGGUGGAGCAUGUGGUUUAAUUCGAUGCAACGCGAAGAAC
rnacentral:rRNA from 1 species